rnacentral:rRNA from 1 species
AUGCUUAAUGUGAUUAAAGGUGUUGAGCUAUCUAAUGUGGCUGAUAAGCCUAUAUGGACUCUAGAAAGUAAAGGUAUCUAUUCAGUGAAAUCUCUCUAUAGAAUGAUCAAUUUCGGGGGAGUGGUCUCUAUCUGGAGAGAUUUAUGGAGAAUAAAAGUUUCACCUAAUAUCCAUGUUUUUCUUUGGUUAAUGGUGCAUAAGAAGAGUCUAACUAGGGAUAAUUUGUCUAAACGCCAACAUGUGGAGGACUUGACUUGUGUCUUCUGUAGUGAAGCUGAAAGUAUUCACCACCUAUUUUUUGAAUGUGUGGUGGCCCGAAAAGUGUGGCUAGUGAUAGCUGAUUGUAUUAAGAUUCCCGUUCCUGAUUUGUUUGAAUCCUUUAUUCCUUUUUGAAAGAAGAAGAAAUGUUAUGAUGUAGUUAACUUGACUUCUGUUGCUACCUUAUGAAGCUUAUGGUUGCUUCGAAAUGAAUUUGUGUUUCAGGGGAGAGGAUGGUGA